rnacentral:rRNA from 1 species
UUCGCCCUUAGAGUUUGAUCCUGGCUCAGGAUGAACGCUGGCGGCGUGCCUAACACAUGCAAGUCGAACGGAGUUCUUACUGAAUGCUACUUCUGUCAAAUGACUUUUGAACUUAGUGGCGGACGGGUGAGUAACGCAUGAGCAACCUGUCUUUCAGAGGGGGAUAACAUUUGGAAACAGAUGCUAAUACCGUGUAAUAUUACUUUACCGAAUGAUACACUGAUAAAAGGACCCAUCCGCUGAAAGAUGGGCUCGCAUCCAAUUACAUAGUUGGGGAAGUAACCGUUCACCAACUCAACGAUCGAAAGCCGGACUGAGAAGUUAAACGGCCACCUUGGGACUGAGACACGGCCCAGACUCCUACUGGAGGCAGCGGGUGGAGAAUAUUGUACAAUGGGCCAAAGCCUGAUGUCACAGCCUCCCGUGAGGGAAGAUCGUUUUCGGAUUGUAAACCUCUGUUUUCGUGUGACGAACAAAUGACGGUACCCGAGUAGGAAGCCACGGCUAACUACGUGCCAGCAGCCGCGGUAAUACGUAGGUGGCAAGCGUUAUCCGGAAUUACUGGGUGUAAAGGGAGCGCAGGCGGGAUAGCAAGUCAGAUGUGAAAUCUCUGGGCUCAACCCAUAAACUGCAGUUGAAACUGUUAUUCUUGAGUGCAGUAGAGGCAAGGGGAAUUCCGAGUGUAGCGGUGAAAUGCGUAGAUAUUAGGAGGAACACCAGUGGCGAAGGCGGCUUUCUGGGCUGUAACUGACGCUGAGGCUCGAAAGUGUGGGGAGCAAACAGGAUUAGAUACCCUGGUAGUCCACACUGUAAACGAUGAAUAGUAGGUGUGGGGGGUGUGGCUCCCCUCCUGCGUGGAGUUAACGCAACAAGCAAUCCUCCUGGGGAGGACGGCGGUAAGGUGGAAACUCAUAGGAAUAGACGGGGACCCGCACCACCAGCGGAUUAUCUGGUGUAAUUAGUAGCAACGAGAAGAACCUCAUCAGGUCUUGACAUCAUAUCAACGAGAUAGAGAUAUGUCAGGUGCCCUUUGGGGAAAGUCGAGACAGGUGGUGCAUGGUUGUCGUCAGCUCGUGUCGUGAGAUGUUGGGUUAAGUCCCGCAACGAGCGCAACCCCUGCCAUUAGUUGCUACGCAAGAGCACUCUAAUGGGACCGCUGCCGACAAGGUGGAGGAAGGUGGGGACGACGUCAAAUCAUCAUGCCCCUUAUGACCUGGGCUACACACGUAAUACAAUGGUCAUUACCAGAGGGAAGCAAAUCCCAGAGGCGGAGCAAAACCCCAAAAAUGAUCUCAGUUCGGAUCGCAGGCUGCAACCCGCCCGCGUGAAGUUGGAAUUGCUAGUAAUCGCAGAUCAGCAUGCUGCGGUGAAUACGUUCCCGGGUCUUGCACACACCGCCCGUCA